rnacentral:rRNA from 1 species
GACGAACGCUGGCGGCGUGCUUAACACAUGCCAGUCGAGCGGUAAGGCUCCUUCGGGAGUACACGAGCGGCGAACGGGUGAGUAACACGUGAGUAAUCUGCCCUUCACUUCGGGAUAACCACCGGAAACGGUGGCUAAUACCGAAUACGACCAGUCUUCGCAUGAGGUGCUGGUGGAAAGUCUUUUCGGUGAAGGAUGUGCUCGCGGCCUAUCAGCUUGUUGGUGGGGUAAUGGCCUACCAAGGCUUCGACGGGUAGCCGGCCUGAGAGGGUGACCGGCCACACUGGGACUGAGACACGGCCCAGACUCCUACGGGAGGCAGCAGUGGGGAAUAUUGGACAAUGGGCGAAAGCCUGAUCCAGCAACGCCGCGUGAGGGAUGACGGCCUUCGGGUUGUAAACCUCUUUCAGUACCGACGAAGCGCCCUGUCGGGUGGUGACGGUAGGUACAGAAGAAGGACCGGCCAACUACGUG